UACGAAGGGGGCUAGCGUUGUCAGGAAUCAUUGGGCGUAAAGAGCGUGUAGGCGGCCCGGUAAGUCCGCUGUAAAAGUCAAAGGCUCAACCUUUGAAUGUCAGUGGAUACUGCCGGGCUAGAGUCCGGAAGAGGCGAGUGGAACUCCUGGUGUAGCGGUGGAAUGCGCAGAUAUCAGGAAGAACACCAACGGCGAAGGCAGCUCGCUGGGACGGUACUGACGCUGAGACGCGAAAGCGUGGGGAGCGAACGGG
rnacentral:rRNA from 1 species